GUUCGUUGCUGGAACUGACCACCCCAAAAAAAAAUUCCCUUCAGUUUUGCUUAUAGUUUUGUUUUGUUCCCAAACAAGUCGGUCACUUUCGAAAGAAUGGUCUGGAUUAUUGGAAGGAAUCGUUUGUUCACCAUACGUCUCUUCUUCGGAAGACGUGUCCAGCCCAUCUGUUUCAGUCGGGUUUGGAACAAUCUAACCUAAAUAUCGAAUAGAGCUGGCUGACCGGAAGUCCGGAACGUGGAAGAAUGUAUUCGGAAAAUCGGAACGUCUUCUUACUGUAACCGGGAGAACCAGUAAGCAUGUAUCGAUAUGCUGGGACCAUCCAAAAUAGACUGCAGUGCAGUGACUGAAUUAAUCGUCGGAAGAUUUUUGGAAACGAUUUAACAGUUCCGGUUACUACGAAGGUCUAUGAGGUUCCAGAUGACUGGCCGGAUUCAUCGUUCAGGGCAAUCCAACAUUUUCGAUCAGUUGCCUUCGUUGGCUUCUUACUCUUUUCAUCCAGACCGGCAAUCAUGAAUAAUAGUGCCUUCCGAUGGCU